rnacentral:tRNA from 1 species
GGGAAUGUGGCUUAAUGGUAGAGUGCUUGCCUAGCAUGCAGAAGCCCUGGGUUUGAUUCCCCAGUACCA